GGAGUGUUUCUAGAGCUCGGAGGCUGCUGGUAGGGGGGCACCACUUUCAGAUAAAAACAUAGACCUGAAUGGCAUCAUCCAGUAUCCAAGGAAACCAUGUUCUCUAAACAUGAAUAUGCCUUUGGGGGAAGACAGAAGAACAUGGAAGCCAUGUGAAAAAAACGGAUCCUAAGGCAGUUUUGAACAUCUGGAGGCCUGAUUUAUUGGAGAUUGCAAAUGUACAGUGUAACAUAGCUGUGGAGAGAUCUCACAUGAGAUGGCAAAGAGGUCAAGACAAAAAUUCUGCAUUUGGGAAAAGAAUAACACAUGGACUUCCUCCUACAGGAUUAUAGGACUGUGUAUGUCCUACACACACAUUAUAUGUCCUACACGCACAGUGAUGAGGAGUGACAAAAUGAAGACUCCAGAAUCCUCUUUAUCAGAUCCUGAAUGUGCACUUUCUGAAGUGAAGUCCACUAUGUGCUGGGCACACAGAGAAUAGAGCAUGAAACAAAAGCAACA
ensembl:lncRNA MEF2C-AS1 MEF2C antisense RNA 1